AGCAUAUCACUGAGCGCAGGAGAAGAAACUAACCAGGAUUUCCCUAGUAACGGCGAGCGAACCGGAAAGAGCCCAGCUUGAAAAUCGUGGCGCCCCGGCGCCUCGAAUUGUAGUCUGGAGAAGGUCCCUCUGCGGCGCGCCGGACCCAAGUUCCCUGGAAAGGGACGCCAUCGAGGGUGAGAGCCCCGCUGAUUCCGGAGUGCGCCGCUCCACGAGGACCUGUCUGCGAGUCGGGCUGUUUGGGAAUGCAGCCCUAAGCGGGUGGUAAAUUCCAUCCAAGGCUAAAUAUUGGCAAGAGACCGAUAGCGAACAAGUACCGCGAGGGAAAGAUGAAAAGGACUUUGAAAAGAGAGUUAAAAAGUGCUUGAAAUUGCUGGGAGGGAAGCGAAUGGAAGCUGCGGGUGCGCCCCGGUUGGAUGUGGAACGGCUGUCAAAGGCUGGUCCGCCGCUCAACGCGGGGCGCUGGUCAGCGUGGGCCAUCGCGGCGGGACAAGAGCGGGGAUUCGCUUCCCGCCGAUGCCGCUGCGGUGGCCGAGGAACGAAGCGCGCGCUCUUCAUGGGCGUGGGACUUGUCCCAACUGCGCGCUCGGGACGCUGGCGUAUUGAGCUCUUCAUCCGACCCGUCUUGAAACACGGACCAAGGAGUCUAACAUGUAUGCGAGCCGGUGGGCGGCAAACCCAUUGAGGCGCAAGUAACCUGACAGGUGGGACCCCGACCGCAAGGGAGGGAGCACCAUCGACCGACCGUGAUCUUCUGUGAAGGGUC
rnacentral:rRNA from 1 species